GAUGAACGCUGGCGGCGUGCCUAGUACAUGCAAGUCGAGCGAAGCGAGCACGGGUGCGUACCCCGUGGAUAACCUCCUAUAAGACUCGGAUAUCUUCGUGAAACCGUAGCUAAACCUUAUACUUAUAGAUGGCUCCGCGCUGCAUUAGCUAGUUGGUCAGGUAACGGCUUACCAAGGAAACGCUGCAUAGCCGACCUGAGAGGGUGAUCGGCAACACUGGAACUGAGACAAGGUCCAGAAUCCUAAGGGAGGCAGCAGUAGGGAAUAUUCCGCAAUGGGCGAAAGCCUGACGGAGCAACGCCGCGUGAGUGAUGAAGGCCUUCGGAGCGUAAAACGCGGUUAUUAGGGAAGGGGUACCGAAUCAGAAAGACACGUCUAACUACGUGCCAGCCGCCGCGGUAAUAC
rnacentral:rRNA from 1 species